AUGGACGACCUCCGCACCUCCUCCCUCCCCCCAUCUGCCCACUUCCCCCUCCCCCCUCUUCUAGAUCUGCGGCGGCGGUCACACGGCCGUCGGCGUCACACAUCUACCUGCAGGCGAGGCAUUACAGAACCUGCCGCAGACCCCCGUGUGUUGCAACCUCUAAAAAAAAAGCUUCAAACUCUAUAUGAAAAGCUUCAACCGUAUAUACAGAAAGCUGCAAACCUUCAGUGCUAUCGGGGGAAGCUACAACCGUCUACAGAAAAUGCUACAACCUUUAACGAAAAAAGCUUCAACUUAACGAUAGAGGAAGCUUUCACCCAGGCGCUGCUCAAAACGAAAAAAGUUUCAAUCGUUUACAGAAAAGCUUCUACCGUAGAGGAAAAAAGCUUCAACCUUCGAGAGAGAAAGCUACAACCAAACUCUGCACAAUCAGCGAAGUUGCAACCGUUCGACAGAGAAAGCUUUUGA
rnacentral:rRNA from 1 species